rnacentral:rRNA from 1 species
UAGGGAAUCUUCGGCAAUGGACGGAAGUCUGACCGAGCAACGCCGCGUGAGUGAAGAAGGUUUUCGGAUCGUAAAGCUCUGUUGUAAGAGAAGAACGAGUGUGAGAGUGGAAAGUUCACACUGUGACGGUAUCUUACCAGAAAGGGACGGCUAACUACGUGCCAGCAGCCGCGGUAAUACGUAGGUCCCGAGCGUUGUCCGGAUUUAUUGGGCGUAAAGCGAGCGCAGGCGGUUAGAUAAGUCUGAAGUUAAAGGCUGUGGCUUAACCAUAGUACGCUUUGGAAACUGUUUAACUUGAGUGCAAGAGGGGAGAGUGGAAUUCCAUGUGUAGCGGUGAAAUGCGUAGAUAUAUGGAGGAACACCGGUGGCGAAAGCGGCUCUCUGGCUUGUAACUGACGCUGAGGCUCGAAAGCGUGGGGAGCAAACAGGAUUAGAUACCCUGGUAGUCCACGCCGUAAACGAUGAGUGCUAGAUGUUAGACCCUUUCCGGGGUUUAGUGCCGUAGCUAACGCAUUAAGCACUCCGCCUGGGGAGUACGACCGCAAGGUUG